UCUUUGAGAAGCGCGUGCCACGCGUCUUGAAGCCCUACAACAGAAAACCCGUACUGCAAUCGUGAGAGAAAAAGAGGAGCCUGCGAAUCAAGAGAGAUGGAGAUGGUUGUUGGCGACGGCAGACGCGGCGGAGGCCGUUCUGUGCUCCGACGAUGAGUAACUACGGCGGUAGCGAUGUUUUCGGCGGCGGCUAGGGUUUCGUCGAUCCAUGGGUUCUUAUGACGUUCGUCGAAAUCCCCGAUUUUGGCAUAGCAUCUGGAUUUUGAGGCACGGCGUUCGUCGGAACCCUAGAUCGUCGCAUGCCCUCUGGUCAGUUUUCACUGUGACCACUCACUAAUGGUUAGGGUCUCCUAGCCUGAGACGUUGGUCGUUGCCGGCGUCCUCUCAAGGACGCCUGUCGUAGCGGCUGUGUUUUCCUCUCCCUGGUCAUCAUCUUUGUUUUCUUUUAUUGACUAUGGUUAUUUUUGGGUUUCCAUUGUCAGGUGUCGAUGAUGGCUAGGGUUUCCUAUGCUGAGACUAACAAAAUUUGAUGAGUUGUGGUUGCUUUUAUCCACGGUUUAUCGAUGACGAUAGGUGUCUUAAUCUUAGAUGUUCAUGAUUUGAAUUUUGAAAUCGUAAGUCACUUAUGUGUUACCUUUGCUGCUUUGGGUUUUCACAUACCACGUAUAUUGUAUGUAUAUAAAUCUGUGAUUUGUAGAGUUCCUUUAAUGAUGGAGCUACAUGCAUUUGGUCUGUAUACUGUUUUUGGCAUCCAUGUUGUGCGACCAUUAUUUGGCGUUUUGGAUACUGAGCUAGGCGAUGAUGAUCGUGUGGGUGUAAAUCGAGAUGAUGAUUUAACCGUGGCGUGGCAUGUUUGAGAGAUGGUAGAUGUUCAUCUGCAGCCUCCAUUGCAGCCACGAUUAUCUCUUCCAUUUACACCCUUUGAGCCUCUAAUUCUAUGCAACUUGCUGGUAAUGUAUUUAUUGCUUUGAAUUUGAUAGUUUGAUAUGUUUGGAGCGUUGCUUUAGUGGUUUAUAGGCUAUUUAUGUCUGUCAUUGGCACUGGUUCGAAUCUCCCCAGACGUGAUUCAACUGCAUUCGUACAUGGGAGCGAUGGCUCACAAGCUUGCGUAUUGUGUUCCUGGUAAUACUUGAGGUAAUACUUGACUGAGUUCUAUAGAAUCAAGUCAACAUGACUCUUAAUUUAACUAUCAUUUUGAGCAGAUUCAAUUACUUUAGUCACGACUCGCGACUUGGUUCAAUAAUAUCAAUAUGCUUUUAUUUUAGCAGUUGGAUUGAAGUGUUCGUAGCUGUUUAGUUAUUCAUUUAUUUUAAUGUGUUAAGUGAUUUUGGAAAAGCACAAGUAUCAAAUAACACUUUGGAGCAUAACUUGGCUUGCGCGAAAGGUCAAACUACGUUGUUCCUUGGUGACUUUUCGUAUUAUGUCCAUCAAGAGUAGUGCAUACGAGCCAGGCCGGAUAUAUAGCGCUGGAAAUCAUAAAUUCAACUUUGCUUCUGAAAUUGUAAGACUAAUAUACAUGUAUAACCUGAAUAAUGCAGACCGCAAAACAUAAUUACAGUGCCUCAUGAAUUGGUUAUAAAAAUUAAGGCAAUAUGUCGCCAUCGCGCGACAACUAUGGAGGAUGGCAGCUUAGCAGCUGCAACCCCUAUUGCAGCCAAUGUGCCAUGGUCCUUUUGCAUUCUUUAAGCCUCAUUAAUUAGUUCACGUUUCUAAUUGUGCAUUUGUAUAUCAAACCUUGAGUCUGGCUUCUUGAGUAGUCGGUAACUGUCAAAAUUUGUUCACAUAAAUACUUUGUUUCCCGCAAAGAGUUUUUAUUGCUUGCGCAUCGCCUUUGUUCUGCCACGUGUUUUAACUUUUGCACCUCACCACUGAUGAUUGGGAGUCAAAUUGAAGUUGGUACUGUGGCUGUUCGUACAGUUUGUUGAAGCUUUGGUGUGCAGGUGUUUGUUGCCAUUUACCACAACUGUAAGAUCAAAUGGGUAUGUGGUGUCAUAUUCUAUUCAUUUGCUGCUUAUUGUGUUGGUAUGGUGUAUCUGUUCUAUACUUUCACUUAUUCGGUGUCUUAUUCUCUUCCGACUGUUUGUAUAUGAAGUUAUUACGAGUUAAUGAUGAUUCGAACACGGGAGAUGGAUCUGAAAGCGGGUUUGGUGGAAGUGAUAAUGUAGAAGGUGCAUUUGGUGGUGAACAAGAUAUCCCCACCGACUCAUCUUCGACUUCGCGUUGGAGACGAAAAUAUCACCGGCAAACUCCUCGGCUCUUUAUAAAAUGGAUUGACUGGAUGAAGUCUUCAAAGUUGCUUAGCCUGAACCACCAUUGACACCUGUAUUAGAUUUGUUUUUGCGAUUGGGAAAUGGUGGUAGUGCACUGAAUGCUAUACAGAACGGCUAUGCGCAGCAACAUGCGGAUUGCUAAAACGCCAACCCGACAAGAUCCAAAAAAGACCACUUUUUGUAAUAUGGUUAAAACAACAAACCAAAGUCAUAUUUUGCAUUGCUCCUAAAUGUGUAUGUGUCUGUUAGGCCACCUAAUAGAACUAUAAAUUGCCAAAUCUGUUCUUUUCUAAUUUGUAAUACGACUACCAUUACCGCUGAUUUUA